rnacentral:rRNA from 1 species
CUUAAGCAUAUCAAUAAGCGGAGGAAAAAGAAACCAACAGGGAUUACCUCAGUAACGGCGAGUGAAGCGGUAACAGCUCAAAUUUGAAAUCUGGCCCUUUCAGGGUCCGAGUUGUAAUUUGUAGAAGAUGCUUUGGGUGUGGCCCCGGUCUAAGUUCCUUGGAACAGGACGUCAUAGAGGGUGAGAAUCCCGUAUGUGACUGGGUGCUUUCGCCCGUGUAAAGCUCUUUCGACGAGUCGAGUUGUUUGGGAAUGCAGCUCAAAAUGGGUGGUAAAUUUCAUCUAAAGCUAAAUAUUGGCCAGAGACCGAUAGCGCACAAGUAGAGUGAUCGAAAGAUGAAAAGCACUUUGGAAAGAGAGUUAAACAGUACGUGAAAUUGUUGAAAGGGAAGCGCUUGCAACCAGACUCGCAUGCCGUCGAUCAUCCUGGGUUCUCCCUGGUGCACUCGGCGGCGUUCGGGCCAGCAUCAGUUUCGGUGGUGGGAUAAAGGCUUUGGGAAUGUAGCUUCUUUCGGGGAGUGUUAUAGCCCUCGGUGCAAUGCCGCCUACCGGGACUGAGGACCGCGCUUCGGCUAGGAUGCUGGCGUAAUGGUUGUAAGCGACCCGUCUUGAAACACGGACCAAGGAGUCUAACAUCUAUGCGAGUAUUUGGGUGUUAAACCCAUAUGCGUAAUGAAAGUGAACGGAGGUGAGAACCCUUAAGGGUGCAUCAUCGACCGAUCCUGAUGUCUUCGGAUGGAUUUGAGUAAGAGCAUAGCUGUUGGGACCCGAAAGAUGGUGAACUAUGCCUAAAUAGGGUGAAGCCAGAGGAAACUCUGGUGGAGGCUGCAGCGGUUCUGACGUGCAAAUCGAUCGUCAAAUUUGGGUAUAGGGGCGAAAGACUAAUCGAACCAUCUAGUAGCUGGUUCCUGCCGAA